AAUCUACCUGACAGUCUUUUCACAGGUACAAACUAAUCCUCCCCUCGGGCUCGCGCUGAGCCGCUCACGCUAAUCGAAAGUCAAACCGUUUCUGCUUCUCAUUUAAAGACUCGACACUGUUUCGCUUCCUUUUUCUUGGACAAAGAAUUCCAUCCUCGCUCGGCGACGAUGAAGGUCAGAGUGUGGACACGAAGGUCCAGUCCAUCACUGAGGAAGGUGUCCUGUAAACCUGACGGUCUUUUGUCGGAUUAACAGUGAAGAGUGUUUUCCUGUCAGUCAGCCGCUGGCGAGUCUGCGGACUCUCAGUCUGGUUGUCUGAUUGGAGGGAUCAGGCAGGUUUCUGUCUGUCUGACAGAUGGAGUCCCUCAAGGACGAGUGCUUGGCCCCCUCCUGUUGUCCACCUACAGGCUACAGGCCACGUCAUCAUGCAGCAGCACAGUAUCGCAGCACCACUUCCUCCUCAUCCUCCUCUUCCUCCUGCAGGACAUCGUGGACUCGCACAGGACAGAGAGGACUGCUGUGGCAUGACACGAAGACCAUGACCUGUCACUCACAUACUGACCUCCUGAACCGGUUCACCUACCUGCAGUCCAGACGCACAGAGAUUUCCCAAAAUUCACCAAAACUGGGCAAAAGAUAGCUGAGAAAGGAAACCAGUGGUAGCAGCAAAGACAUCUUUUCAAAAUAAAAUACAUAAGAUGUUUAACCUCUCACAUUAUUUUAGUCUCUGUGAUUCUUCAAGAACCUGAAGGCUGUUUCCUCCCACUCCACUGGUGGGGAAAAAACUCACUCAAGUACAGUUUGGAGGUACUUGUACUUCCGUUUAUUUCAAUGUUCUGCUUCUGUUUGCGUUCCUCUUCUUCUCAUGUAUUUCUCAACAACAGAGAUUCAAUUAUUUUCACAUUGUGGUAUUGUUGUGUUAAUUUAAGUAAAAAAUUCUCACCACUGUCCCACCCUGACCAACCAGAGGGCUCAUGUGGAGUCACAUGAUGUGAUGUCCAUGCACAAAGACCCACAGAUGCAUGAGCCCACAUGUCACUCGCCACAUUCAGUCGCUGCUGUCAGACACAGGAUGCUGUUUGUCUUUAUCAGAGCUCCUGAAGGCAUCACAACAACCAGCAGUAACCACCGCAGGGUUAAAUAUAACUGACUGCCUGUCACUCCAAACACCACAACGAGAGGACAGCGUCAGAUACAGCAGCACAGUUCACAUACAUCCUGUGUGUCUCUUAACUGUGGAGGGCUCAAUGAGACUGGAAGAAGCCUCAGAGGGGGGCUCCUCAUUGUGGAUGAAGUCAGAUAGUUCAAACCAUUUCCCGCUUUGAAGAAAUGAAUCAGCAGAAACUGCUCCACCACCAAGGACUGGAAACAAAGGGAAGCUGUUAGUGUAGCUCUGCGAGGCACAAAUCCACGUCCCAACAACUCCUAAUCCAUCAGAUUUGCAUGUUGUAUUUACAUGAGUGAAAGUUCUUGGUCUCCAGGAUGUAUUUAGCCUAGCUUAGCACAAA